GCCUACGGGGGGCAGCAGUGGGGAAUAUUGCACAAUGGGGGAAACCCUGAUGCAGCAACGCCGCGUGAGUGAAGAAGUAUUUCGGUAUGUAAAGCUCUAUCAGCGGGGAAGAAAAUGACGGUACCUGAGUAAGAAGCCCCGGCUAACUACGUGCCAGCAGCCGCGGUAAUACGUAGGGGGCAAGCGUUAUCCGGAUUUACUGGGUGUAAAGGGAGCGUAGACGGCGAUGCAAGUCUGAAGUGAAAGCCCGGGGCCCAACCCCGGGACUGCUUUGGAAACUGUAUGGCUGGAGUGCUGGAGAGGCA
rnacentral:rRNA from 1 species